rfam:Agrilus planipennis Contig20908, whole genome shotgun sequence.
AUUUCAUUAACUCGCUCUUUAGAAGCUUCUUUGGUUUGGACUCUAAUUCUCGGCUAAAGAGGGCCCUAGUUGGUUCUAGAACGGCCUGAGGUAGAGGGGUUUUAGUCGGUAGGUCCGAGGACUUGUUCCUCGAGAAUCCGACACUACCCAGUCGUACGGACGGCUGGGUGUCUUUUGAAGAUUUCCCCUCUUCCACGAAA